rnacentral:rRNA from 1 species
CUGGCUCAGGACGAACGCUGGCGGCGUGCUUAACACAUGCAAGUCGAACGAUGAAGCCAGCUUGCUGGUGGAUUAGUGGCGAACGGGUGAGUAACACGUGGGUGAUCUGCCCCAAACUUUGGGAUAAGCCUGGGAAACUGGGUCUAAUACCGAAUAUGACCAACUUCUGCAUGGGGGUUGGUGGAAAGCUCCGGCGGUUUGGGAUGGGCCCGCGGCCUAUCAGCUUGUUGGUGGGGUAAUGGCCUACCAAGGCGACGACGGGUAGCCGGCCUGCGAGGGCGACCGGCCACACUGGGACUGAGACACGGCCCAGACUCCUACGGGAGGCAGCAGUGGGGAAUAUUGCACAAUGGGCGCAAGCCUGAUGCAGCGACGCCGCGUGAGGGAUGACGGCCUUCGGGUUGUAAACCUCUUUCACCAGGGACGAAGCGAAAGUGACGGUACCUGGAGAAGAAGCACCGGCCAACUACGUGCCAGCAGCCGCGGUAAUACGUAGGGUGCGAGCGUUGUCCGGAAUUACUGGGCGUAAAGAGUUCGUAGGCGGUUUGUCGCGUCGUUCGUGAAAACUUGGGGCUUAACUCCAAGCGUGCGGGCGAUACGGGCAGACUUGAGUACUACAGGGGAGACUGGAAUUCCUGGUGUAGCGGUGAAAUGCGCAGAUAUCAGGAGGAACACCGGUGGCGAAGGCGGGUCUCUGGGUAGUAACUGACGCUGAGGAACGAAAGCGUGGGUAGCGAACAGGAUUAGAUACCCUGGUAGUCCACGCUGUAAACGGUGGGUACUAGGUGUGGGUUCCUUUUCACGGGAUCCGUGCCGUAGCUAACGCAUUAAGUACCCCGCCUGGGGAGUACGGCCGCAAGGCUAAAACUCAAAGGAAUUGACGG